rnacentral:pre_miRNA from 1 species
CAUACCCGAGGACAAAUUAUCCGUGGUGUGUUGCCUUUAUUCACGUUCAAUCAUACAAGGACAGUUGCUUUUUGAGUAUC